GACGAACGCUGGCGGCGUGCUUAACACAUGCAAGUCGAAGAUAGUGGCGAACGGGUGAGUAAUACGUGGGUAACCUGCCCUCCUUGUUGGGAUACGCGUUGGAAAAGCGGACUAAUACCGAUUAACGGGGGAUGGGUUCGCGGCCUAUUAGCUUGUGGGUGGUGGGAUGGCCUACCAAGGCGGUGACGGGUAGCGGGCCUGAGAGUGUGAGCGGCCACAUUGGGACUGAGAUACGGCCCAGACUCCGACGGGAGGCAGCAGUGGGGAAUAUUGCACAAUGGGCGAAAGCCUGAUGCAGCAACGCCGCGUGAGUGAAGAAGGCGGUCGGAGGGGAAAACACUGUUGUUAGGGAGGCGGUAUCUAAACAAAAAGCCACGGCUAACUACGUGCCAGCAGCCGCGGUAAUAC
rnacentral:rRNA from 1 species